rnacentral:rRNA from 1 species
AUUGAACGCUGGCGGCAGGCCUAACACAUGCAAGUCGAGCGAGCGGCGGACGGGUGAGUAAUGUCUGGGAAACUGCCUGAUGGAGGGGGAUAACUACUGGAAACGGUAGCUAAUACCGCCUACCACCAGAUGUGCCCAGAUGGGUUUAGCUAGUAGGUGGGGUAACGGCUCACCUAGGCGACGAUCCCUAGCUGGUCUGAGAGGCUGACCAGCCACACUGGAACUGAGACACGGUCCGAACUCCUAGGGGAGGCGGCAGUGGGGAAUAUUGCACAAUGGGCGAAAGCCUGAUGCGGCCAGGCCGCGUGUGUGAAGAAGGCCUUCGGGUGGUAAAGCACUUUCAGCGGGGAGGCGUUACCCGCAGAAGAAGCACCGGCUAACUCCGUGCCAGCCGCCGCGGUAAUUC